CUUGGAAUCUCGAUACUGAGAUAGAUGGACCCGUAGCCAACCAUACUAGUUGUUCUUCAAUCACAUUAUCAUCCAUCAGUCAUCACCGCAACCAAGAGGCGAAAGUGUCAAUGUGAUGAUGUGUAAUCCAGGCUUCAGCCUUCCCUUGGUUUGAGGACCGUACAAUAGCCCUGUGCUCCUUCAUAUAUGGAGCGAGUAGAGAUGAUUGUUGCAGGACCAUGAAGUGUGCUGUACAAAAUGUAUCCUCAUCAAUGUCCAUCCGAGCUUUCCUCCCUAGUGUGCCCUUUCC
rnacentral:lncRNA from 1 species